CAACUAAUUUUUAAAAUAAAUUAUACAGUAGUCUUCAUCAUCCUAUGCUAAUGAUGAAAUAAAAAUCAAAUUCUUGUUAGUAGCAGGUACAUAAUAAUAAUCUCUAAGUAUCAAACUAAAUCUAAAUGGUAAUCACAGAGGAUUGGUACCCAUGACCAUAGCAUCAACUCUUGCUCCAUUGCCAAUCCGAAGGGUCGCUUCUUCCCAUAGCCCUUUACUUUCUUUUAGACCCC
rnacentral:lncRNA from 1 species